rnacentral:lncRNA from 1 species
UGGAGGUCUUCUAGUCCAAUACACAACCCUCGCUCAAGCAGGAAACCCUAUGCUAUUUCAAACAAAUGGUUAUCCAGUCUCAAAGGAUAAUACUAUAUAAUUUAUUUUUUUCAGAAUAAGAGAAUUAGUUACAGAACUUGAAAAUAAGGAAGCUGCAGUAGAGAAUCUAAACAAACAGUUGAGAAGCUUUCAUAAAGAAAAGGAAGAUAUAUGGAGACAGUCACAAUUGGUCCAAAAAACAUUGCAACAACAUAAAUUUAUCCUAAAGAAAGCCUUUAAUCUUAUUCCCUUUAUCAGGGGAGAAUUAAACAAGUUUAAAGAAGAAAUACUUGGUUUUCUCAAAGAAUGGAUUUCACUAAAAGGAGAUAUAUUUUUACAACUAAAAACCAUUAAUAAAGUAGGAUUGUCAGGCCAAAAAAGGGUCUUUUGGCAACAUUGCUGCUGUCCUCUUUGUUUCCAUGAUUCACUUGAAGCGAUUUCAAAAUCCUGGGCAAGAAACAAUUCAGUGCAACAUCUGGGGAAGGAGCACGCAAAGAGUAGAAGAAAAUAGAAAAGUACAGGAAUAUGUUUGGAUUUUUCUAACGGUUGAGAACCUAAUAUAGAAUGAAUGAGUAGCAUUUAGGCUAACAUGGUAUACAUUUAUACCUGUUUCUCCUUACUUCUUCCACAUUUCUGUUUUAAAGGAGAUUUGAUCUGAAUAUUGAG